GGGUAACAAAGUCUUCCCAGCCUUUGGCAUUAUAGUAAUUUCUCGCAAUAGAAAUUCCAUACAGAUAUUAUUGCCAGUGAAGAGAGCUAUUCUUGUUUAUUAUCAGUUCUAUAUUUUUAGCUGAAGCAACUUAGCCCUAAAAAACCCCAAAAUCAACUUCUUCCUCCAAAUUAAACUCUCCCCCAAAUUUAAUGGUUUCUGUUUUCUUAAAUGUUUUUCUACUUG
rnacentral:lncRNA from 1 species